rnacentral:rRNA from 1 species
UACGAAGGGUGCUAGCGUUGUUCGGAAUCACUGGGCGUAAAGCGUGCGUAGGCGGCUUAACAAGUCAGGGGUGAAAUGCCAAGGCUUAACCUUGGAACUGCCUUUGAAACUGUUGAGCUGGAGUGUCGGAGGGGAUAGCGGAAUUCCUAAUGUAGUGGUGAAAUACGUAGAUAUUAGGAGGAACACCGGUGGCGAAGGCGGCUAUCUGGACGACAACUGACGCUGAGGCACGAAAGCGUGGGGAUCAAACAGG